rnacentral:rRNA from 1 species
UGGGGAAUAUUGCACAAUGGGGGAAACCCUGAUGCAGCGACGCCGCGUGAGCGAAGAAGUAUUUCGGUAUGUAAAGCUCUAUCAGCAGGGAAGAAAUGAACGGUAGCCUGACUAAGAAAGCCCCAGGCCUGAACUAACGUGCCAGCCAGCCGCGGGUAAUACGUAGGGGGCAAGCGUUAUCCGGAUUUACUGGGUGUAAAGGGAGCGCAGGCGGUCUUGCAAGUCUGAUGUGAAAGCCCGCGGCUCAACUGCGGGACUGCAUUGGAAACUGUGGGACUUGAGUGUCGGAGGGGCAAGUGGAAUUCCUAGUGUAGCGGUGAAAUGCGUAGAUAUUAGGAGGAACACCAGUGGCGAAGGCGGCUUACUGGACGGUAACUGACGUUGAGGCUCGAAAGCGUGGGGAGCAAACAGGAUUAGAUACC